AUUGGCAUCGCACCUCCUCUUUCCUGCAAGGAGGCUGCUCCCCCACUUUGUUCAGAUCUCUUUGGUCUCUUCUUUCCUUAAAGCAUGAGGAAAUAAAUACACACAGGGCAUGGAGGGUGGUGGGGUUGGACUGUCAUGGGAAUUCGGUCCCUACAGGAAAAGAAAACCUGCGUUAAUGGCCUUUUGGACUUUAGGAUGGUGACUCGGAAUUCGAUUAAUUGCAAUGGUGAAAGUGCACAGUAAUGCUUUGGUCCUGAAGAAAAACAAUGACUGUAUUGUCCUGUCGGUUAGCUGGAUGAUGUGAUCCGUAAGAGCUGUGUGGGUGUUUGCGUUGUGUGUGCUCCGAUUCAUGAUUGCAGAAUAUUGCCACCGUGUACAGAUUAAAACUC